ACCAGGAAAGAUACCACACGGGAAGUGGCCCUGAAGUGGGCCUGAAAGAAUAAGGUUGGAUUUGCACUCCCAGGGAGAGUUGAGCAGCCGGAAAAAAACACCAGCAGCGACAUCCGGAGAUGGAAAAGUACAGGACCAGGAAGAGUGAGUCGCUCAGCCCGGCUGCGUGCUCAGACGGAGCUCCGAGGACUAUGGCUCAACAGAUGAGAAACUGAGGCCCAAAGAGAGGGAAUGAAUGGGCCAUGGUCACAAAGUGAGAGAGAGGACGAACUCAGGUCCCGAGAAUCCCAGGU